rnacentral:rRNA from 1 species
CACCGCCCGUCACAUNACGAAAGUGGGCUGUACUAGAAGACGCCCGAGCCCAAACCCCGCAAGGGAGGCAAGCGUCCACGGUAUGGUCCAUGAUUGGGGUG